CCUACGGGAGGCAGCAGUGAGGAAUAUUGGUCAAUGGGCGCGAGCCUGAACCAGCCAAGUCGCGUGAGGGAAGACGGUCCUAUCGGUUGUAAACCUCUUUUGUCGGGGAGCAAAAGACGCCACGCGUGGCGUUCCGAGAGUACCCUAAGAAAAAGCAUCGGCUAACUCCGUGCCAGCAGCCGCGGUAAUACGGAGGAUGCGAGCGUUAUCCGGAUUUAUUGGGUUUAAAGGGUGCGCAGGGGGAAGAUGAAGUCAGCGGUAAAAUUGAGGGGCUCAACCUCGUAGAGCCGUUGAAACUGGUUGUCUUGAGUGAGUGAGAAGUAUGCGGAAUGCGUGGUGUAGCGGUGAAAUGCAUAGAUAUCACGCAGAACUCCGAUUGCGAAGGCAGCAUACCGGCGCUCAACUGACGCUCAUGCACGAAAGUGUGGGUAUCGAACAGGAUUAGAUACCCUAGUAGUC
rnacentral:rRNA from 1 species